GACGAACGCUGGCGGCGUGCCUAAUACAUGCAAGUAGAACGCUGAGAACUGGUGCUUGCACCGGUUCAAGGAGUUGCGAACGGGUGAGUAACGCGUAGGUAACCUACCUCAUAGCGGGGGAUAACUAUUGGAAACGAUAGCUAAUACCGCAUAAGAGAGACUAACGCAUGUUAGUAAUUUAAAAGGGGCAAUUGCUCCACUAUGAGAUGGACCUGCGUUGUAUUAGCUAGUUGGUGAGGUAAAGGCUCACCAAGGCGACGAUACAUAGCCGACCUGAGAGGGUGAUCGGCCACACUGGGACUGAGACACGGCCCAGGCUCCUACGGGAGGCAGCAGUAGGGAAUCUUCGGCAAUGGGGGCAACCCUGACCGAGCAACGCCGCGUGAGUGAAGAAGGUUUUCGGAUCGUAAAGCUCUGUUGUUAGAGAAGAAUGAUGGUGGGAGUGGAAAAUCCACCAAGUGACGGUAACUAACCAGAAAGGGACGGCUAACUACGUGCCAGCAGCCGCGGUAAUACGUAGGUCCCGAGCGUUGUCCGGAUUUAUUGAGCGUAAAGCGAGCGCAGGCGGUUUUUUAAGUCUGAAGUUAAAGGCAUUGGCUCAACCAAUGUACGCUUUGGAAACUGGAGAACUUGAGUGCAGAAGGGGAGAGUGGAAUUCCAUGUGUAGCGGUGAAAUGCGUAGAUAUAUGGAGGAACACCGGUGGCGAAAGCGGCUCUCUGGUCUGUAACUGACGCUGAGGCUCGAAAGCGUGGGGAGCAAACAGGAUUAGAUACCCUGGUAGUCCACGCCGUAAACGAUGAGUGCUAGGUGUUAGGCCCUUUCCGGGGCUUAGUGCCGGAGCUAACGCAUUAAGCACUCCGCCUGGGGAGUACGACC
rnacentral:rRNA from 1 species